GGGAUGUUAGCUCAGCGGUAGAGCACUGCUCUCACACAGCAGGGGCCACUGGUUCGAUCCCAGUACAUCCCACCA
rnacentral:tRNA from 1 species